rnacentral:rRNA from 1 species
AUCAUGGCUCAGAUUGAACGCUGGCGGCAUGCUUUACACAUGCAAGUCGAACGGCAGCACGGACUUCGGUCUGGUGGCGAGUGGCGAACGGGUGAGUAAUAUAUCGGAACGUGCCCAGUCGUGGGGGAUAACGUAGUGAAAAUUACGCUAAUACCGCAUACGAUCUAAGGAUGAAAGCGGGGGAUCGCAAGACCUCGCGCGAUUGAAGCGGCCGAUAUCAGAUUAGGUAGUUGGUGAGGUAAAGGCUCACCAAGCCGACGAUCUGUAGCUGGUCUGAGAGGACGACCAGCCACACUGGGACUGAGACACGGCCCAGACUCCUACGGGAGGCAGCAGUGGGGAAUUUUGGACAAUGGGCGAAAGCCUGAUCCAGCCAUGCCGCGUGCAGGAUGAAGGCCUUCGGGUUGUAAACUGCUUUUGUACGGAACGAAAAGACUCUGGUUAAUACCUGGGGUCCAUGACGGUACCGUAAGAAUAAGCACCGGCUAACUACGUG